rnacentral:rRNA from 1 species
GAUGAACGCUGGCGGCGUGCUUAACACAUGCAAGUCGAACGAACCUUCGGGUUAGUGGCGGACGGGUGAGUAACGCGUGAGAAUCUGCCCUCAGGAGGGGGAUAACGGCUGGAAACGGCCGCUAAUACCCCAUAUACCGAGAGGUGAAAUGAAUUUCGCCUGAGGAUGAGCUCGCGUCUGAUUAGCUUGUUGGUGGGGUAAUGGCCUACCAAGGCGACGAUCAGUAGCUGGUCUGAGAGGAUGAUCAGCCACACUGGGACUGAGACACGGCCCAGACUCCUACGGGAGGCAGCAGUGGGGAAUUUUCCGCAAUGGGCGAAAGCCUGACGGAGCAACGCCGCGUGAGGGAUGAAGGCCUCUGGGCUGUAAACCUCUUUUAUCAAGGAAGAAGAUCUGACGGUACUUGAUGAAUAAGCCACGGCUAAUUCCGUG